rfam:Felis catus isolate Cinnamon breed Abyssinian chromosome B2, whole genome shotgun sequence.
GCCUGGGUGGCUCACUUGGUUGAGCGUCUGACUUUGGCUCAGGCCAUGAUCUCACGGUUUGUGAGUUCGAACCCCGCAUUGGGCU